AUUGAACGCUGGCGGCAGGCUUAACACAUGCAAGUCGAACGGUAACGACGGGAGCUUGCUCCCGGGCGACGAGUGGCGGACGGGUGAGUAACGCGUAGGAAUCUACCCAACUGUGGGGGACAACCUGGGGAAACUCAGGCUAAUACCGCAUACGCCCUACGGGGGAAAGCGGGGGAUCUUCGGACCUCGCGCGGUUGGAUGAGCCUGCGUCGGAUUAGCUUGCUGGUAAGGGUAACGGCCUACCAAGGCGACGAUCCGUAGCUGGUCUGAGAGGAUGAUCAGCCACACUGGGACUGAGACACGGCCCAGACUCCUACGGGAGGCAGCAGUGGGGAAUAUUGGACAAUGGGGGCAACCCUGAUCCAGCCAUGCCGCGUGUGUGAAGAAGGCCUUCGGGUUGUAAAGCACUUUUAGUGGGGAAGAAAAGCCUAAGGAUAAUACCCUUGGGUCUUGACGGUACCUACAGAAAAAGCACCGGCUAAUUCCGUG
rnacentral:rRNA from 1 species